rnacentral:rRNA from 1 species
CCUACGGGAGGCAGCAGUCGGGAAUUUUGGGCAAUGGGCGAAAGCCUGACCCAGCAACGCCGCGUGAAGGAUGAAAUCCUUCGGGAUGUAAACUUCGCAAGAACGGGAAGAAUAAGCCGGUGUUAACAUCAUCGGUGAUGACGGUACUGUUUGUAAGCUCCGGCUAACUCCGUGCCAGCAGCCGCGGUAAU